GUGUCCGUACAUUAAACUUGACUUUCUUCCUUCCGUGUAGUCGGUGGAGGAGAUGUCAGAUGUGAAGUGUCUUGCGAUUGGUCUUCGGACCGGCUGCGAGUCCUUUUAAAUGUACUAAACUGAACUUCUCUUUGCUCGAAAAGUGGUGGCGUUGCUGGUUGUGAAGGCUGCUAUUGUGGCAAAUUGGCGACUGGUUUGUCUGCUGCGGCGUUAAUGGAAGAGUGUUCGAUUCGUGGUAUGGUUGGCUUCGGCUGAACAAUGCACUUAUUGGACGUUUUUCCUGCUGUGGCGUGAUGGACUGGUGAACCAUAGCUCGGUGGCUUGGCUUUUGAAUUGGCUUUGCUGUUGCGAAGUAGGGUGGCAGCUUCGGUUGUCGAGGGUCGAUCCAUUUGGGAACUUAAUGUGUACUUCGGUAUGCAUCUCAAUUGGACCUGAUAUCAGGCAAGAUUACCCGCUGAACUUAAGCAUAUCAAUAAGCGGAGGAAA
rnacentral:rRNA from 1 species